UUCUUUUGCAGUAAGUCAAAGAACUCGGCCUGAAGUAAAUUACGCAGUAAGACAUCCAGAGUAUCGAACUACGGAAUUACGCCUUGCAACGUUUGACAGAUGGCCAAGGCAGAUGAUUCAGACACCUAGAAAACUGGCCGAGGCCGGUCUUUAUUACACUGGCUUCGAAGACCAUGUGCGCUGCUUUGCAUGUGAUGGAGGUUUACAUCGCUGGGACCCUGACGAUGAUCCAUGGACUGAACACUGUCGCUGGUUUCCAGCAUGUCCUUUUGACAGACAGCAGAAAGGCGACGAAUUUAUAGCACUAGUGCAAGCCUUGGCUGAAUAUGGAACUGAAGUAUUAUGUUAAAAUCAUUUAAAAAACAAACAUGGAUAGAUAUCCAGUUCGAAAUUCAUGUUUCAGUGGAAGCAUCCCUCUUAAACUGUACCCUUCAGCAGUGUAUGUUUUGAUACAUAUAUGUGCAUGAUUGGUCUUAUAUUAUCGCAUUAGCACAUUUACAGUGUAGAAGUUCACGUUAAUAUUGCUUGAUCACACGUGAACACUGUUGGAUUCUAUUCAGAUUGCAAGAAAUGUUACCGUUUUCAGUGUGAGAGAGAAAGGUGGUUAUCUUAUCGUAAUUUUAUUGAUUAAGUUGCAUUUAGAAUUCUAUCAACUAAUUUAGACUACUAAACAAUUGAAAGAACCCUAGACAGCUAUUUGCACUUGUCUAAUGUAGUUUUCGGUUGCUCUCGGCAGCUUGCAUUGUCAAGAAAGUAGACCCAUACAUUAGUAUAGAUUUAUAUUAUAGUAUUUUGCAAAUAAUGAUUGUAUUUUUUUAUCGUUUAUCGUUCAGCAGAUUGUAUCACUGAAAAUAUAAGUAUGACGUAUAAAAUAUCUUGAAACAAAUGUAUGAAAUGAGCAGAUUAAGUUUAAUUAUAUAAAGCAUGUUACCAUUGUUUUUGGUUCUGUUGCUGUAGAGGGGAACAAUUUACUAUAUGUGAUUUUUUUUAUAGAAAUGCAUAUUUAAGAAAUUAAAAAAAAAAAUGAAACUUAAGUUCCUGUUAACUGCCUUUGAAAUAAAUUUUGAAAUUGUCAUCAAUAUUUCGUAGAGAAAUAGUGAUGGUAUAUCAGCUGAGAUGGAGCAAUUGACACUGCGCGACCCAGUAUAUAAUGCUGCUUUAAACGAACAUUAAAAAGUCACGUGUUUAGAAAUGGGUUACCAAUUAGCAGAUUUCAAUGAAGCUGUACAGGAAAUUAGAAAUAGAGGUACAGUUUUGCCAACGAUUGAUGACAUUCUCGAUUCUACUGAUGUAAUCAAAGAAAGAAAACGCCAAGCAGUUGAACUAGAGAAGAAACAAAACGAAACACCACUAGAAGAAAAUCAGCGGCUGAAACGUUUGAUCGUUUGUAUGUUAUGUGGUAGGAAUAACGUAAAUGCUUUGUUUUUGCCGUGCACACACCAUCGGUUGUGCAUGGACUGUACGGAACCUUUGACAAAUUGGCCUGUAUGUGAACGUUAUAUACGACAGAAAAUCAGAACGUACCUGGCAUAAACAAGCCAAAAUGAAAUGUCAAAAUCAUGAUAGAAUACAUAUUAACCAUGUUUCAUAUUUAAAUGUAUACGCCGUACACUUGACAUUGCUUGUUGGUUUGAUUUAUUCCAAGUAUGAAAACAUUAAAAUUGGGACCAGUGGUGACUUGUGACCUUUCAGAAGAUUUUGAACUUGUAUCUGAGGUGUACUUUAGCAUCAGCAAAUGCUUUCUAUAGGACUGAAUGUUUAAGUUCUAGAAGCCUAAGUGUACCGCGUGUAGAUUUGAUUUGGACCAGCGUUUGUAGUUCUAAAUAGAAAUAGAGAGGACAUUUAAGUGCGCAUAUUUUGAAAUGAACAAAAAUGGUAUAAUGGCAACGAAUAUUAUAAUUUCUUCUUCAAAUCCCAUAAUAAUUGAAUUUAAACUAAGUCUUAAAAACCACCAUUAAAUAUAUUAUUUAGGUGCAUUUUCGAUAUAGAAAAGAUCGUGUUAAUGGGUGAGUAUAUGAUAUUUACAUAAAUACAAAUACAAAGAGAAAAACAUGAAAAACAAGGACAAAAAGAGCACAUAAAGGAACACAAUGAAGUACUCCAUGUCAAUGGUCAGGAGCAAACAACUAUCAGUGGGUAUAGGCCGGUUGAUGCGCCUUAGAUAAUCCUAUCAUGUUCUAAAGUUACAAGAGUGAACUCCUUACAUAUGCAAUGUUUACCAGUGUGAAAAAUAUGUGAUCAUUCUAUAUAAUAAUCCAUGUACAUAUCACAUUAAUCAUUGUAUAUACGUUAAAGUAUUUAAUAAUCAUCGAACAGCACUCAAUGUAUAUACGUUACCGCAUUUAAUAAUCAUGUUAUAGUACCCCUUGUAUAUACAUUACCGUAUAUAAUACUCAUGUUACAGUACUCAUUGUAUAUACGUUACCUUAUUUAAUACUCAUGUUACAGUACUCACUGUAUAUACGUUACCGUUUUUAAAACCAUGUUACAGUACUCAUUGUUUAUACGUUACCGUUUUUAAAAACCAUGUUACAGUACUCAUUGUUUAUACGUUACCGUAUUUAAUAAUCAUGUUACAGUACUCAUUGUGUAUAUUAAUCAUGUUAUUGCAUAUUUUGUUAUUUUAAAAGGCUACUUGAAAUAUAUUG